UGCAAGUCGAACGAUGAACCCCACUUCGGUGGGGGAUUAGUGGCGAACGGGUGAGUAACACGUGGGCAAUCUGCCCUUCACUCUGGGACAAGCCCUGGAAACGGGGUCUAAUACCGGAUAAUACUCCUGCAGGCAUCUGUGGGGGUUAAAAGCUCCGGCGGUGAAGGAUGAGCCCGCGGCCUAUCAGCUUGUUGGUGAGGUAGUGGCUCACCAAGGCGACGACGGGUAGCCGGCCUGAGAGGGCGACCGGCCACACUGGGACUGAGACACGGCCCAGACUCCUACGGGAGGCAGCAGUGGGGAAUAUUGCACAAUGGGCGAAAGCCUGAUGCAGCGACGCCGCGUGAGGGAUGACGGCCUUCGGGUUGUAAACCUCUUUCAGCAGGGAAGAAGCGAAAGUGACGGUACCUGCAGAAGAAGCGCCGGCUAACUACGUGCCAGCAGCCGCGGUAAUACGUAGGGCGCAAGCGUUGUCCGGAAUUAUUGGGCGUAAAGAGCUCGUAGGCGGUCUGUCGCGUCGGAUGUGAAAGCCCGGGGCUUAACCCCGGGUCUGCAUUCGAUACGGGCAGACUAGAGUGUGGUAGGGGAGAUCGGAAUUCCUGGUGUAGCGGUGAAAUGCGCAGAUAUCAGGAGGAACACCGGUGGCGAAGGCGGAUCUCUGGGCCAUUACUGACGCUGAGGAGCGAAAGCGUGGGGAGCGAACAGGAUUAGAUACCCUGGUAGUCCACGCCGUAAACGGUGGGAACUAGGUGUUGGCGACAUUCCACGUCGUCGGUGCCGCAGCUAACGCAUUAAGUUCCCCGCCUGGGGAGUACGGCCGCAAGGCUAAAACUCAAAGGAAUUGA
rnacentral:rRNA from 1 species